UUAAUUGAAGAGUUUGAUCAUGGCUCAGAUUGAACGCUGGCGGCAGGCCUAACACAUGCAAGUCGAGCGGCAGCACAGAGAAACUUGUUUCUCGGGUGGCGAGCGGCGGACGGGUGAGUAAUGCCUGGGAAAUUGCCCUGAUGUGGGGGAUA
rnacentral:rRNA from 1 species